rnacentral:sRNA from 1 species
GGCCAGUCUCCCACUCCCCUGCUCUGGAAGUGAUCCAGGGGCUGGAAUCAGUGUCUUUUGGCUUUCAUGGAGGAGGGGAAGCCAGAGACUAUUCACUGGGAACUGGCUGCCUUUCUGUUCUCUCCUGGGCGGUGGGACACGCCUAAUGAAGAUCAUGGGAGGCUACUUCACGUGGACCCCAGAUGGAAUCCCCACACUGUCCAACAUCACCAUUCGUAUCCCCCGAGGCCAGCUGACUAUGAUCGUGGGGCAGGUGGGCUGCGGCAAGUCCUCGCUCCUUCUAGCCGCACUGGGGGAGAUGCAGAAGGUCUCAGGGGCUGUCUUCUGGAGCAGCAGCCUUCCUGACAGCGAGAUAGGAGAGGACCCCAGCCCAGAGCGGGAGACAGCGACCGACUUGGAUAUCAGGAAGAGAGGCCCUGUGGCCUAUGCUUCGCAGAAACCAUGGCUGCUAAAUGCCACUGUGGAGGAGAACAUCAUCUUUGAGAGUCCCUUCAACAAACAACGGUACAAGAUGGUCAUUGAAGCCUGCUCUCUGCAGCCAGACAUCGACAUCCUGCCCCAUGGAGACCAGACCCAGAUUGGGGAACGGGGCAUCAACCUGUCUGGUGGUCAACGCCAGCGAAUCAGUGUGGCCCGAGCCCUCUACCAGCACGCCAACGUCGUCUUCUUGGAUGACCCCUUCUCAGCUCUGGAUAUCCAUCUGAGUGACCACUUAAUGCAGGCCGGC